ACUCUGGCAGUUGGGAUUCCAUGCUUAGUGGUUUGUCACGGGGCACUGGAUCUUUCAAGUUCAUGAUUUGUCACUUGGGUCUAUGUGGCAGAAGAAGUGGAUUACAAGAAACACAUGUUUAAGAAAUUUAGGAAGGAGUGAGGAAGUGGCUAUGAUCAUUGGCUAAUUGGUUCGUCAGGCCAAAAUUGCCUUUCGGCGUUCACCACAGCACCAUCGCCAAUUCCUAAGUAGUGGUGACCUGCUUUGAGGUUGCUUUGUGGAUGACUGUGAGAAAUGUCUGGUUUGGGAAGGCUAGGAUUUCUCUCUCCUUGUUUGUCCCCCACAACCCCAUCCCAUCCACACCCCUUCGGUUACCCAGGACCUUAUUGAAAAAAGAAAUCCCAAACCAGAGAGAAAACAGUUUCCAGGAUCCAUGGUGAGCUUGUCUGGUAAGAAUCGGGUUACUGUGGCCUGUGGCUCUUGAACUCAUUUGGAAGAGAACCCAAGUUGCUUUGAUGUACCUUCAAUACCCCUCCCACCAUGGAGGCUUUCGUUACUACAUGGGGACAUCCAUACUGAGGCAGAGGAACUCAAUCGAAAUCUCUUUUUAAAAGUCACUCAUACAAAAAGAAGGAAAGAAAGAAAGAAAGAAGGAAAGGAAAGGAAAAGAAAAGAAGAGAAAAGAAAAGAAAAGAAAGAGGCAUCAAGUUCUAAAAGCUUCCAGCUGAGGAAAUGACCAAAGCAAGUUGGGUUCAACCAGCAACAACAACAAAAAAUAAAAUUAGAAAAUUCUCUAAUUAGACCUCAACAUGGAAAUAUGUUCUAAAUAGUUCUGGUAAUUGUGAAAUAAAGAACAGAAAUUGC